rnacentral:misc_RNA from 1 species
UGUGGCAAGUUUGGUGAUUAUCCAGUGGAGAGGUGUUUGAAGCAGAUGGAUCGAGCUUUCAAUUUUGGGGACAAUCAAAUUUUGCAGAUGUAUGGUUUUACUCAUAAAUCUCUUGCUAGCCGGAGAGUUAAAAGAGUGAGAAAUGAGACUAGCAAUCCACUUGAAGUGAAAGAUGAGCUUGGGUUGCUUCACCCUGCAUUCAAAGCUAUCAAGUUAUCAACAUCAUCUUGAGAGCUAAGGUACCAACAUCAUCUUGGGAGCUUUGAAACUCUAAUGCCCUGCUGGCUUUUGUUUGCUUAAAGUUACAGUACAUGUCAAAUUGCACUUAAUGGCUAUUUAUUGCUUGUGGUAGCAAUGGAUAUUGUAUUCUCUUCUUGCUUUUCCCUGUAUUAUUAGUGUUUAAAUUAUAUUGAUUCUUGAAUUAUAAGAAAACUUUGCAUAAGUACUAUUUUCUCUAUAUAUUUCAUACCAACUAAAAUACAGGG